AAUGGAGCUUGGAAGGCUUCCGCAGAUGGUGUCCACCAUACGUGGUGUUCUUAAGACCUUGAGUCUCGCUCGUCAGGCGUAGCAUUGAGUUUGCCAGGUUAGCCGUCGUGCGGGGGUUCGGCUUGGAGGUCUCAGGCUUCGGCCGAAGGGCUUCCGGCUGUCCCCUUUUGAAUGGACGUUCAGAGCUCUUGUGUCUAAUGCGGUUAUGCCCACCACAGCACGUUGCGAGGUCACCCACAGGCUCAAACUGCCGAUCGCGUAUCCAGGACGAUGGCAACGAUGCGUUGUUGGCGCGUGUGCGGGAGCGAGUCUCUCCACGCCGUCACACGCGUGUCUAGUCCUGGGUCGGGCGGCGACCGAGAUAAACCUGGUACGAUCCUCUUGCGACGAGCUGCUUUCUGGCCAGACCGACGCCCAGGCGCCUCCACUGUGCCGGAGGCGUCAAACCCAGGCGGUGUGAACCCAGCUGCAUUAUGCAAGGUCUCUCAGCCGGGCGUUGGUCUGAGUGGUGUCAAGUCCAGCACCAUCGGUCACGUCUCGAAACACGGGCCAAGGAGUAUAGCAUGUGUGCAAGUCUAAGGGUCCCACAAAACCCGAAGGCGAAGUGAAAGCAAGACUGUGGCGGGGGAGCCACGGCAAACCCGCCGGCCUAGUGCGGCGCCUCGUGCGUCGCCUGGCUUCAAGCAGAGCUGAUCCUGUUUUCUCGGUUAAUUCUUGGUGCAGGCGCAAGCUCCGGGCUCACGUACAACACUGGUGACGCCUC
rnacentral:rRNA from 1 species